GGAUCCCUAGGGGGGCAGCAGUGGGGAAUAUUGGACAAUGGGCGCAAGCCUGAUCCAGCCAUGCCGCGUGUGUGAAGAAGGCCUUAUGGUUGUAAAGCACUUUAAGCGAGGAGGAGGCUACUUUAGAUAAUACCUAGAGAUAGUGGACGUUACUCGCAGAAUAAGCACCGGCUAACUCUGUGCCAGCAGCCGCGGUAAUACAGAGGGUGCAAGCGUUAAUCGGAUUUACUGGGCGUCAAGCGCGCGUAGUCGGCUAAUUAAGUCA
rnacentral:rRNA from 1 species